UAGCCUUUGUUCCAUGUCCAUAUUCUUGUUUUUGUCCGCGUGUUUCGUUUCAUAAUGUCGUCUCAGAUUAUACUCUUUCAGUACCGCCACACUUUCUCCACACAGAAGACACACAGGUUUUCCAGCUACCUCCGUGAACAUAUACUCCGACUCCCACCUUGUUUGAAACCCCCGGUUCUCAGUGUCCACCUUCCGUUUUGCCAUUUUUGAUGGGUAUCUGAAAGUUAAUUUUACUGUGAUGCUGACGACUGCUGUGCCAAUAAAUAUUGAAAUGAAGCAGCCUACUGCUCGGUGCGUCACCGUUGCAUUGUGGGAAAUGUAGUAUUGGUGCGUGUAAAAGAUCUGCGGGCUGCCGGCUUGCUGCGGUCUGCGGGCCGGUUCUAAUAAUAAAUCAAGAUCAUCCCAGGGGCCGUAAAAAACCUUCUCGCGGGCCGGAUGUGGCCCGCGGGCCUUGACUCUGACAUAUGUGCCCUAGAUUAUGCAAAAAGUUGCACACAAGGAUCAAUUCAAAUAGGCCAGGUCAAGAGGGGAUGUUAAUAAUUUGCUAAUAAUAAUUCAGUGUAUUUUUUAAAUUUAAUUACAGCUGCAUAGCUAAUGUUUUUAUUUGGUGUACAAACACUUUUUCAUAUCAAUAUUGUACAUACAUGUGAUUGUAAAAGUUUUGUAUAUUUUGGUUUGGCCCAUCGCCGGUUAUCUGUAUUUCCAUACCCUCUUAUUGUUCUCUUUUGCCUGACAUUCGGCUAGCAAGGUAUGUUUUCCUUGGCUCCAAAAUUGUUUAAUAUAAAACCGUCAAUGUUACACAAUGUACUGUUUUUCAACCAUAAGUUUGUUACAAUGUGGAUAAUAUAAAGAUUUAUGUUAGCAAGUUUCACAAAGCUCGCUAACUAGGGUAUCUAUUGUAACUUGUGAGUACUUGGGACAGUGUUUGAGUGAGUGUCCAUGUGCUCGCGCAGAUGCCUGAGAGCUGUGACUGCGCCAAGGGUUAACAUAAUGUGUGUUGUCUCUUCGUGUGCAGGUAUGUGUUUUAUUUUGUCCGAAUUAUGUUCUGUAUAGUUUUACUUCUAUUGUAUGGUGUGCAUCGAAUGUGUGCACGCAGCACCUGUUAUUUCCUUUUGGCGCUCAUUUGCCUGACCUUCGGCUAGCAAAGGUGCCUGAGAGCUGUGACUGCGCCAAGGUUUAACAUAAUGUGUGUUGUCUCUUCGUGUGCAGGGCAAAUAAAAAGAUUUCAACUAGCAGACCGUCAGUUGUCGCAGUGUCCUAAUUAAAAGUACACAACGCAGAAUGAACCACGCUACAUGUGCACCACUCAGAAUGGACGGACAAGCGCACAACUUUUCUGUUGCUGAUGAAAACGGCGAAAUGUGGGAAAGAAACGUAAAACAAAACUAAAAUAAUGGAAAGACGGGCAAAGGAAGAUCUUACGGGAUGCGGGAAAACCCUAUACAAAUCGUAAGGGUCAAGAAAAAAAAAACUGGGAAAAGCUGUCCAAAAGAGGUAUGUGGAAGAACCGUAUAUCAAACAAUCAAGCUAGCUAUAGAGUACAGUAGCUAACAUGUAUGUUCUGGGUUGUCUAAUUUGUAACUAUAGAGAAAACAUAUUCGCUAAAGUUCGUUGGCUACUAACUUAUACAUUAUCGUUACAAAUAUUAUUGCUAGAUUAUAGAAGAAACAUAGCUAGCUACUUUUUCUCCAUCCACCGGAUGAUUCGACAUGGCUACAGUAGCUAGCUAGUUAUAGGUAACGUUACACUGUAUCCUGCAGGGAAGAGCGUGUUCCACGACAUGCACAAAGGAUUGUGGAAAAUUGACUGAUGAGCGCAAGCUGCAUCUGUUCAACAGUUUCUACACUGUCCCAUACGAGAAACAACAAGCGUUGAUUCUCUCCGGCUUAGAACAGCAUGAGGUGGAAUGGAGACGUAAACCUGAGGAUACAAAGGAGAACAAACGACUGAAACAAACCUUCAAAUACCAUGUACAGCAAGCAAGCCAGAGAUUGAAUGUGUGCAAGGUCACUUUCAUGUCUGUGUUCCAGCUAACCAACAGCCGUCUUCAGGCAAGUGAAAAUAUGAAGAGAAGAAUACCACAUCAUUUUCAAACAGUGGUCUCAAUUUCGGCCAACCCAGGAGUGACACUUGUGGCAAAUGUGACACAUUCUUCACUAAGAUGUCACCAGCAACAUCUGAAAAGGAAGAUUGCAGUUGAAAGUGAGUUGCACCAUCGAAAAGCCAAAAAGGCCUACACACAGCUUCAAAGUGACACUGAGUGGGCUAAAGCCAAUGCUGACUGCCAUGUCAUUUCUGUGGAUCUACAGGGGGUGAUGUACACCCCUAAUCUGACCCACUCCAAUGUUUACUACCAGCGGCAGCGGUCAAAUUUUAACCUUUGCAUCCAGGAACUUGGAAAAGAAGAUCCUGCAUACAUGUGUGUUUGGCAUGAGGGGAUUGCACACCGAGGGUUCAUUGAGGUGGCAAGCUGCAUAUUGAAGUGGGUGAAGACAAAAUUCACGCCACUCACCAAACCAGAGGUGUGCAAGUUGAUCAUCUUCAGUGACAGAUGCUGUGGGCAGAAUAACAACUGGCGGAUGCUCAAUCUGAUGUCGAUGCUCGUCUCUAUGGGUUACUUUACCCAAGUUGAGCAGAAGUUCAUGGUCUGGUCAUUCUUUUCUUCCUUGUGAUUGAUCUUUUGCCACCAUCGAGAAGAGGCGCAAUGUGUCAGUCCUUCAUAUACCUGAUGAUGUUUCAAAGAUGAUACUUGAAGCACAACCUGCAAAACCAUUCAAGGUGAUGAGGAUGCAAUGUGAAGACUUUAGGCACCUCCCAGAUUCUGUCCUCAAGCGACCAGCUGGACUACAGAUCACCUCGGUGAGGUGGUUAAAAGUCACAGUUGAUCCUUGGAAUCUGUACGCCAGACAGAGCCACUGUCUAUUUGAGGGAUGGAAAUCGUGGCUGAUCUCCAAACCAAAACAAGGAGCUACACCACAACCUCCCUAUUUUGCAAGCCACUACCCUAGAGCAUAUGAGAGUCCUCUGCCCAUCAUAAAAAACAAGUACCAAGAUCUGAUGACCAUGCUCAACUACUUGCCAGCAGCUGCACGCUCUUUUUAUAAAUCACUGCAGAGUGAAUAAUUUGUUGUUAAACCAAGCUACAUAAUUAACUGUUUUUUCUGUGAGUUUAUGAUCCCCUGAAUCUGAAUACAUUUCAGAAGAGAUGUCACCCCUAUUGUAGGAAAUGAAAUGUAUAGUAGGUGUUUUCUAUGUGAAUCAAUUUGUGUAGGAUUUGAACCAGCACAAUAUAUUGAAUUAAUUUAAUUUUAAGAUGUUGUUCCUAGUGUAGAAAAUGUUAUGUACGGUACAAUGUGUUCUGUUAAGAAUUAUUUUGCGUGUGAUCAUUUGAACAUUUUUUUAAUCUGAAUUAAUUAAAAACAAAGUCAUCACAUACAGUGUUGACGUGAGUAUUCAUUUGAUCUUGAUUCCCUUUUUUUAUUCAUUACAAUAUACAGUACGUCUCUCACCACAUUUAGCAUUAACUCUAAGCAGUUAAUACAUAUUUACUGCUGUCACCUCAGUACAGAAGGACAUUUCUUGCCUUUAGCAUGGGUUUAAUGCAAUUCAAAACUUAAUUGCUGAUCAUAGUGUUAAACGCAAAGUGAAUGGUUUUCUGAACGUUUUGUAAUAUUGACAUUAGGGACCUGCAUAUUGGCACAUCAUAUUGAUCCAUAUUUGAUAUGUACAAGUUGUGCUUGUUUUGAUUGAAUUAAUUUAAUUGUAUUCUAUUUUUGUAGUUAUUCUAUGGUAUGUUCACAUUGAGGGCUUCAUUUUAAAUGAGACUAAGAUUUCAUGACUCAACUUUUAAGAAAAGUCAGUGCUGAAGUUGAUAGACCACCUUUAAAUGAACCUCCAUACAAAUGAAUUAACUACAUAUUGCAGUUAAGUUAUUUACAUGAAGGGCAUCUGUACUUGAAAGUACUUAAAACAUAUCAGGUCUUUAAAAAGGACUUCUUACCAGAGUCAUGCAAAAUGUCACAUACGGUUCUUCCACAAACUGAAAUCACUGGAGAAAUACUGUUCAUCCACAUUCUAAAAAUUAAAACGACAAAAGUAUUUUUUGAAAUAAAAAAAAUAUCAAUUUUUGGAAGAUAUGGGUAUGGUGAAUUAUUUGUCAACCAUAAAACACCUAAUAUGGUACACACAAUAAUAUAAAAAUAACUUAUCUUAAAAUGGAAAAAUUGUCACAUGGUUCUUCGUCUGUAGGAUUCAACUGUCACAGGAGAUUCUGGGCACAUCCCCAUUCCUUUGAUUAGUGGCAGCACAUGAGUGACAACUCAACUGACAGAAUGGCUCCUCAAUUUCAGGAUGAGAAGAGAUACCUUCCUACACCUGUGUGAUGUUCUUCGGCCCAAUUCAUCUCUGUACCAGCAAGGCCAGAGAGGCACACUGUUGCUGGGAUGGACUGAGAUGUGAUUUAUUUAUACUUUUUUUAC